UGCAGUAUAGCUCAGUGGUAGAGCACCUGACCAGCAAUCAGGGGGUCGUAGGUUCGAGUCCUGCUCUUUUUCAG